GGAAAGGCGCGCGAUACAGGGUGACAGCCCCGUACACAAAAAUGCACAUGCUGUGAGCUCGAUGAGUAGGGCGGGACACGUGGUAUCCUGUCUGAAUAUGGGGGGACCAUCCUCCAAGGCUAAAUACUCCUGACUGACCGAUAGUGAACCAGUACCGUGAGGGAAAGGCGAAAAGAACCCCGGCGAGGGGAGUGAAAAAGAACCUGAAACCGUGUACGUACAAGCAGUGGGAGCACGCUUAGGCGUGUGACUGCGUACCUUUUGUAUAAUGGGUCAGCGACUUAUAUUCUGUAGCAAGGUUAACCGAAUAGGGGAGCCGAAGGGAAACCGAGUCUUAACUGGGCGUUAAGUUGCAGGGUAUAGACCCGAAACCCGGUGAUCUAGCCAUGGGCAGGUUGAAGGUUGGGUAACACUAACUGGAGGACCGAACCGACUAAUGUUGAAAAAUUAGCGGAUGACUUGUGGCUGGGGGUGAAAGGCCAAUCAAACCGGGAGAUAGCUGGUUCUCCCCGAAAGCUAUUUAGGUAGCGCCUCGUGAAUUCAUCUCCGGGGGUAGAGCACUGUUUCGGCAAGGGGGUCAUCCCGACUUACCAACCCGAUGCAAACUGCGAAUACCGGAGAAUGUUAUCACGGGAGAC
rnacentral:rRNA from 1 species